UACGAGAGGCCCAAACGUUAUUCGGAAUUACUGGGCUUAAAGAGUUCGUAGGCGGCAUGAAAAGUAGGGUGUGAAAGCCCUCGGCUCAACCGAGGAAUUGCGCUCUAAACUGUCGUGCUAGAGGAAGCUAGAGGUGAGCGGAACUGAUGGUGGAGCGGUGAAAUGCGUUGAUAUCAUCAGGAACACCGGAGGCGAAGGCGGCUCACUGGGGCUUUUCUGACGCUGAGGAACGAAAGCGUGGGGAGCAAACAGG
rnacentral:rRNA from 1 species